AGCCAUCACAAUGAUAAACAUGGUAAGAAAUGUCAUAUGAUAACAUCAAAAACCUGUAUUAGCUUGUGUUAAAGUGCAGAAAGAAUCACUGUAUUUCUGAACGUGUUGUUCUCUGGUUCUUUCUUUGCAUGAUUCUUUCCAACUACAUGCCACAGUUUGAUCUGCCACUAUGAUGUGGUAAUGUAGAUCAUCUGACAGCAAUAUAAGGCAAGUCAAAUCUGAAUAUUUUGUAUAUGGAUACAUCAAAAAAACUGUAUUCACUUGUUUUAAGUGCAGAUUCAUUAUUUCUUAACAUGUUCUUCUGUUUCCUUGCAUGACUCUUUCCAACUACAUGCCCUGGUUUGAGCUGCUGCAAUAGUGAUUAUGGUAAAAAUAAUCAUGUGACAUCAUGAUAAAAACUGUAUUGUGUUUAAAUGCAACAUGAUUUUUUCUUUUAUUCUAGAAAACCUUGUAUUUUUGAACAUGUUCUUAUGUGUUUCUUUCUUUGCAUGACUCUUUCUAACUACAUGCCGAGGUUUGAGCCAUCACAAUGGCAAAGAUGGUAAUACAUCAAAAGCGGUGUGUAAAAGUGCAGCAUGAAAUUUGUAUUUUUAGAAAAUCACAGUAUUUCUGAACAUGUUACUCUGUUUCUUACCUUGCAUGUGUCUUUCCAACUACAUGUCAUGGUUUGAGCCAUCACAAUGACAAACAUGAUCGUCUGAUAGAAGAACAUGUUCAGGGCACUUAAAGGGACUUGAAGGGAUUCACUUUCCUCGUCACUGGAGCAAACUGAAACACAUUACUUCAAGUACAGUUCAGCUCCCAAGGAAAUUACAUGAUUCAGCAGAGUGCUGGUGUCUUUAGGAAGCUCAGGAUGGGGAGGAUGUUUCAGACGUCAGAGCUACAGCAGACACCUGUCAUCUAUUGGACACUGUGUUCUUCCUCAGCAGCUUUGAAGCUUAUCUUUUGAAGUUCAGCCUUGAGCCUGUACGUUUCCAGCAAACAAGACUGCAGUGCAUUCUUCCGUUCUCCUUCCACCGCUCCUCUGCAUUGUUGCAAAACAUCUAGAGAGAUUAUGUAAAGUCUCUCUCAGGUCACAAGGACACAAGGCCACAUACAGCAUUGAAGUGAAUGUUAAGCUGCUACCACACUAUGAAGUGAACUCUACAGGCAGUCCAUACUACUCCAGGGAGACCAAAUAGCUUUGCUAAAUAAUUAUUUCACCAACAAUUUCAGGUCAUUUUCUAUCAAUUUCCUCAUUGCAGUUAUUUGAUUUAGUUUUUUUCAGGCUGUAUUAAGCCAGAUUUUUUUUAAUGGGCUCAUGUCAUUAGAAAUAACAUUUUCCUUGAUCUUUUGCGAUAAAAGAGCUUGAUAUGCUAUAAAAAUAAAAAAGAAAACAGUUUCUAAAUUGUUUUCAGAUAUUGAGCUAAUAAAGCACAAGAUAAGAUUGCAUUGUUUUCCGAUUUUAUUGCUGAUUUGAAAUAUUGUCAAAGCAUAAGCUUGACAGAUUUUUGUUGUUGUUGUCAUUUCCCAUUCACAUACACAGGAGUUGUACCUGCAUACUUUUUACCCACACAGAAAAUAGCUUACCAAGAUAGCUGCUAAUAAACAGACUUUUAAAUCAUACUUAAAGGAAUAGUUUACCCAAAAUGAAAAUUUGCUUAAAAUUGACUUACCCUCAAUCAGGUCAUCCAAUAUGUAGAUGAGUUUGUUUCUUCAUCUAAAAUGUUUUUGAAAAAUUUCACAUUUACAUCACUUGAUAAUCAAUGGAUCACUCUAAUGUACUUUAAGUGCUCUAUUUUUGUGCACUUUUUUAAUAUACUAAAAAUGAUUCUUUAGUACUUCUUAAGAUAAACUUAAGAUCAUCUAAGUGUACUCAAUUGUGCUAUUUUGGAAAUCCAUGAAUAUCAACUAAAAUCCAAUUUUAACAUAUUAUCUCUGUAUUUAAAAAAUCUAUUUACUCACCACUUGUAGUACACUUGAUUGUACUAGUGUAUGAAAGUGGUUCAAGUGUACACCAAGUGGUAACUAAAUACAUUUUUAAAAUUU